UACGGAGGGUGCGAGCGUUGUCCGGAAUCAUUGGGCGUAAAGGGCGCGUAGGUGGCGGGACAAGCGUGCGGUGAAAGCCUGGGACUCAACCCCGGGUCGGCCGUGCGAACUGUUUUGCUUGAGCACUGUAGAGGCAGGCGGAAUUCCGGGUGUAGCGGUGGAAUGCGUAGAGAUCCGGAAGAACACCGGUGGCGAAGGCGGCCUGCUGGGCAGCAGCUGACACUGAGGCGCGGACAGCGUGGGGAGCAAACAGG
rnacentral:rRNA from 1 species